rnacentral:rRNA from 2 species
UGCAAGUCGUGCGGGUGUAGUGCGAGAUUGCUCCAUGAUUCAGCGGCGGACGGGUGAGUAAUGUCUAGGAAUCUGCCUGGUAGUGGGGGACAACGUUUCGAUUAGGAACGCUAAUACCGCAUACGUCCUACGGGAGAAAGUGGGGGAUCUUCGGACCUCACGCUAUCAGAUGAGCCUAGGUCGGAUUAGCUAGUUGGUGAGGUAAGGGCUCACCAAGGCGACGAUCCGUAACUGGUCUGAGAGGAUGAUCAGUCACACUGGAACUGAGACACGGUCCAGACUCCUACGGGAGGCAGCAGUGGGGAAUAUUGGACAAUGGGCGAAAGCCUGAUCCAGCCAUGCCGCGUGUGUGAAGAAGGUCUUCGGAUUGUAAAGCACUUUAAGUUGGGAGGAAGGGCAGUAAGUUAAUACCUUGCUGUUUUGACGUUACCGACAGAAUAAGCACCGGCUAACUUCGUGCCAGCAGCCGCGGUAAUACGAAGGGUGCAAGCGUUAAUCGGAAUUACUGGGCGUAAAGCGCGCGUAGGUGGUUCGUUAAGUUGGAUGUGAAAGCCCCGGGCUCAACCUGGGAACUGCAUCCAAAACUGGCGAGCUAGAGUAUGGCAGAGGGUGGUGGAAUUUCCUGUGUAGCGGUGAAAUGCGUAGAUAUAGGAAGGAACACCAGUGGCGAAGGCGACCACCUGGGGCUAAUACUGACACUGAGGGUGCGAAGGCGUGGGGG